GGGUUCGUGGUCGACUUUGGGAACUUCAGCUUCCCAAGCUGAUAACGCGGGUUCGAUUCCCGUCAUCCA
rnacentral:tRNA from 1 species